rnacentral:rRNA from 1 species
UACGGAGGAUGCAAGCGUUAUCCGGAAUGAUUGGGCGUAAAGCGUCCGCAGGUGGCUAUGUAAGUCUGCUGUUAAAGAGUGAGGCUCAACCUCAUAAGAGCAGUGGAAACUACAUGGCUAGAGUGCGUUUGGGGCAGAGGGAAUUCCUGGUGUAGCGGUGAAAUGCGUAGAUAUCAGGAAGAACACCGGUGGCGAAAGCGCUCUGCUAGGCCGCAACUGACACUGAGGGACGAAAGCUAGGGGAGCGAAUGGG